GUACGGGUGGCAGAGCUGGUUUAAUGCGCAGGAUUGCUAAUCCUGUAUACGUACGAAUAUGCGUAUCCUGGGGUCGUAGCCCAGUCCGUACG
rnacentral:tRNA from 1 species